ensembl:lncRNA
AUAUAUACCACAUCUUCUUAACCCAUGUAUUCAUUGAUGGACAUUUAGGUUGUUCCCAUGUCUUGCCUAUUGUGAAUAGUGCUGCAGUGAACAUGUGAGUGCAUGUGUCUUUUUCAAGGAAAGUUUUUCUCCUUUGUUCCUUUCUUUUUUUGGUUGGAUGAUUUCCAUUUAUUUUAUGCUCAUGUGCUUUUCUUUUUAGUUUUUGUAAUGUAAUGUGUGGAUUUGAUUUGUGGUUCCCGUUUUUUUAAGUAUGUUAGCCCCUUCCUAUGUCCACUUGCCUGAUAGUCAUAUAGGUUCAAACACAUUAUUAAAAAAAAAAAAAGUCUAGAUUUUCUUACUUUCCUUCCCCACAUUCUAUGAUUUCAAAGUCCUUUUUUUUUUUUUUUAAACAUCUUCAUGUUUGCUUUUUGCUGUUCCUUGUGUUUAUCAUCACCUUUACAGUAGGGUUUUUGUUUUUUUUUCCCCUCUUUUAGAUCUGUAUACUGGUUUAUUUAAGUUAUAACUUUCCAGUUGUGAUUUCCUCCAUCCUAUUUCUUCUUAUUUCUUUUUUGUUUAGAGAAGAUUUUUCAGUAUUUCUUCUAGAAUGGAUUUAGUAUUGCUGAACUCUUUUAGCUUUUGCUUUUUGGAGAAAUUCUUUAUUUCUCAUAUUUCAAAUGAUAUUCUUGUUGAGUAGAGUAUUCUAGGCUUCAAUUUUUUCCUUUUAGAACUUUGAAUAUACCUUUCACUCCCUUCCGGCUUGUAGUGUUUCUGUAGAGAAAGCACCUGAUAGCCUUAUGGGGGUUCCCUUAUAAUUAACAUUGUGUGUUUCUCUUGCUGCCUUUAAAGAUAAAGAAUCCUCUCUUUAAGUUUUGCCAUUUUUAUUAUAAUAUGUCUUGGUGUGGGUCUGUUUGUGUUCAACUUGUUUGGGGCCCUCUGUGCUUCCCAUAUCUUGUUUUCUUUAGAUUUGGAAAGUUUUCAGACAUAAUUUCUUCAAAUAUAUUUUCAAUCCCCUUUUCUUUUUCUUCUCCUUCUGGAAUUCCUAUUAUAUGCAGACUGGCUCACUGUAUGUUAUCCCAUAGAUCUCUUAUACUGCUUUCAUGUUUUUUCAUUUGGUUUUCUGUUUGCUGUCCUGAUUGGGUGAUUUCCUUUAUUCUAUCUUCCAUGUCACUAAUUUGUUCCUCUGCAUUAUUCAUUCUGCUCUUUGGUGCCUUUAGCUUAGUUUGCAUCUCUGCAAAUGAAUUUUAUAAUUUUUCUUGGUUCCUUCUUGUAUUUUCUCAUUCCUUUCUAAAGGAAUCAGCAUUAUUGUUUAGAUCCACUUUUAAUUCCUUCAUAUCCACCCUUAAUUCCUUCAGUAUUUUCAUUAUCUCCCUUUUGAACUCAGUGUCUGUCAUACUGCAGUGGUCUGCUUCAUUGUUUGCUGCUUCCGGUGAAUUCUCCUAUUCUUUUAACUGGAAAUGGUGCCUGAGCUUCUUCAUUUUGCUUAUAUUUUUCUUUUUCUGUGAGUUUAGGGAAACCAAACUGUAGUCUAUGCAAGAACACCCCUUCGUAUUUUGUGGGGCAUUACUAUUUAUUUUUGCUGUGGGAGUUUGGAUAUUUGCUGUCUCUUUCUUUGGUGUGAGCAGACUAUUAUCCCCAGGGUACUGAGUGUAUUUUCAGGGAUAAGGAGGCAAUGGGUACGGCCAGUAGUCAGUGCCUGGUUGCUGGGCUCUUGACAGUAGAAAGGACCUUCAGGAAGGUGGUGCAGGCUACUCCUAGUUGCAGGGCCCUGGGAAGUGGUAAUGAGCCUCAGGCAGAUUUAGGCAGUGCCCAGAGCAUUUGGCAGUGGCAGGGUGUGUGAGUUCCCAGGGGAUUGAGAGCAACAACAGGUGGUGUUUGGUCACAAUGCCCUCCUCUGUCAUGCCCUCUGAGACGACUGGGGCUACAAGUGGUGCCUAUUCAUGGACCCCUAGUGGUGGCAGGCCACACUCACCUCUGAAGUCAGAGAUAACUGUGGUGGUUUGCCCCCACCACCUGUAGUCCACACAAGAAGCACCCCAUCCUACUUAGCCCAUGCAGGAGGGAAGUUCCAGCCAGGAGUCAAAUCAGAGCUGCAGCUGGGGCCUAUGCCACAGCCACGGAACUACUGGAUCUAAGUUGCCAUCUGAGACCUACUCUGCAGCUUAUGGCAACGCCAGAUCCUUAACCCACUGAGCAAGGCCAGGGAUUGAACCCA